rnacentral:rRNA from 1 species
UGCAGUCGUACGAGAAAUCUCUUCGGAGAUGAGUAAAGUGGCGCACGGGUGAGUAACGCGUGGGUAAUCUGCCCUUAGGUUUGGGAUAACCCCGGGAAACCGGAGCUAAUACCGAAUGAGACCACGAUGACUUCGGUCGAUGUGGGAAAAGGUGGCCUCUUCUUGAAAGCUAUCGCCAAAGGAUGAGCCCGCGUUUGAUUAGCUAGUUGGUGAGGUAAUGGCUCACCAAGGCGACGAUCAAUAGCUGGUCUGAGAGGAUGAUCAGCCACACUGGAACUGAGAUACGGUCCAGACUCCUACGGGAGGCAGCAGUCAGGAAUAUUGGGCAAUGGGCGAAAGCCUGACCCAGCAACGCCGCGUGAAGGAUGAAGGCCUUCGGGUCGUAAACUUCUGUCGAGAGGGAAGAAUGUGUACGGGUGAACAAUCCGUGCAUUUGACGGUACCUCCAAAGGAAGCACCGGCUAACUCCGUGCCAGCAGCCGCGGUAAUACGGAGGGUGCAAGCGUUGUUCGGAUUCAUUGGGCGUAAAGCGAGCGUAGGCGGUUUGACAAGUCGGAUGUGAAAUCCCGGGGCCCAACCCCGGAACUGCAUCCGAUACUGUCUGGCUAGAGUCCCGGAGAGGGUGGCGGAAUUCCCGGUGUAGGGGUGAAAUCCGUAGAUAUCGGGAGGAACACCAGUGGCGAAGGCGGCCACCUGGACGGUGACUGACGCUGAGACUCGAAAGCGUGGGUAGCAAACAGGAUUAGAUACCCUGGUAGUCCACGCUGUAAACGGUGAGUGCUCGUCGUCGUGGGUAUUGACCCCUGCGGUGACCAAGUUAACACAUGAAGCACUCCGCCUGGGAAGUACGGUCGCAAGACUAAAACUCAAAGAAAUUGACGGGGGCCCGCACAAGCGGUGGAGCAUGUUGUUUAAUUCGAAGCAACGCGCAGAACCUUACCUGGAUUUGACAUCUCUGGAAUCCUCCUGAAAAGGGAGGAGUGCCUUCGGGAGCCAGAAGACAGGUGCUGCAUGGCUGUCGUCAGCUCGUG